ensembl:lncRNA
CCCAGGUGAGAUUAUCCACUGCAUCAAGGGAUGACGUCGGUAUGAACUGUUUUUGGGAAGUUUAAGUAUUUAGGGUAUCCAUGUGGUAUAAUCCAUAACAGCAGGAAGUGUGUCACAAGUGUAGAUUUAAAGAUGUAUCUGGACGAAUCAGGUGGGUUUGGAGGAUGUAAAGUAAAGAUGUAUCUGGACGAAUCAGGUGGGAUUGGAGGAUGUAAAGUAAAGAUGUAUGGACGAAUCAGGUGGGUUUGGAGGAUGUAAAGUAAAGAUGUAUCUGGACGAAUCAGGUGGGUUUGGAGGAUGUAAAGUAAAGAUGUAUCUGGACGAAUCAGGUGGGUUUGGAGGAUGUAAAGUAAAGAUGUAUCUGGACGAAUCAGGUGGGUUUGGAGGAUGUAAAGUAAAGAUGUAUGGACGAAUCAGGUGGGUUUGGAGGAUGUAAAGUAAAGAUGUAUCUGGACGAAUCAGGUGGGUUUGGAGGAUAUAAAGUAAAGAUGUAUCUGGACGAAUCAGGUGGGUUUGGAGGAUGUAAAGUAAAGAUGUAUCUGGACGAAUCAGGUGAGUUUGGAGGAUGAGAGGAGCCCCAGCAGUAAAAGUGUCAGUCAGGCAUCAGACAUCGGGACAGAAAAAUGAGAGCCAGACGUUAACAGAGACAUGAAGACACCUUGGGACAUAAAGCGUCCUGGUACUCCAAGAGUGAUCAGUUACCUCAGCUUAUUAUUCAGUUAUUCAGCUUAAAGGAUAUUAUUCUGACACUUCAGGAAAGCAUAUUUUGGCCAACUGACCGGUCCUGUGAGUUUGAUGGAUUAAACUCAUUUUCAUAACUCUGAGAUUCUUCUGCUUUGCUCGACUUUGUCCAUUCAGGCUGGUCACUUAUGAGGACAGAUCGUUUAGCAGCACAGCCGCAUUGAGUCUACUUGUGAACUUACUCAUCUCUCAGUACCUUCUUUCUCCUUGUUAUCUUUUUUGAUAGUGUUUUUCUU